CUUGGUCAUUUAGAGGAAGUAAAAGUCGUAACAAGGUUUCCGUAGGUGAACCUGCGGAAGGAUCAUUACCGUGCCGUGGCAGCCGGCCCACAAAGCCUGGCUGUUUCACCUGGCCACCCGUGUCUACUUUACCUGUUGCUUCGGCGGGCCUGCGGGCCUGCUCGCUGCCGGGGGACCCUGCAGGGUUCCCAGGUUCGUGCCCGCCGAGGACCAUGAAAUUCUUGUUCAAGAUUGGCGUCUGAGUGAUUAAGAAAUCAGUUAAAAACUUUCAACAACGGAUCUCUUGGUUCCCACAUCGAUGAAGAACGCAGCGAAAUGCGAUAAGUAAUGUGAAUUGCAGAAUUCCGUGAAUCAUCGAAUCUUUGAACGCACAUUGCGCCCCCUGGUAUUCCGGGGGGCAUGCCUGUCCGAGCGUCAUUGCAACCCUCAAGCGCGGCUUGUGUGUUGGGCCUCGUCCCCUGUGGACGUGCCCGAAAUGCAGUGGCGGUACCGUGCUCCGGUGCCCGAGCGUAUGGGCUUAUCACCCGCUCUGAGGCCCGGCCGGUGCCUGCCGACUUGGUGAACUUCUUUUCAGGUUGACCUCGGAUCAGGUAGGGAUACCCGCUGAACUUAAGCAUAUCAAUAAGCGGAGGA
rnacentral:misc_RNA from 1 species